UAGCUCACUGGUCGAGUCGGCCUGCGCGGAAGAUGUAACGGGGCUAAACCAUGCACCGAAGCUGCGGCAGCGACACUAUGUGUUGUUGGGUAGGGGAGCGUUCUGUAAGCCUGUGAAGGUGUGCUGUGAGGCAUGCUGGAGGUAUCAGAAGUGCGAAUGCUGACAUAAGUAACGAUAAAGCGGGUGAAAAGCCCGCUCGCCGGAAGACC
rnacentral:rRNA from 1 species